GCGCGUCAAAUUUCUAUCCUAAAAGAUCACCGCAGCGCCCUCCCCUCGCAGGCAUUUCCCGACCAGACGAUCAUUGUGUCUUCAGCAUCGCGAGGGAGCAGCAGAGGGGUUGUCGUGCUCCAUAUUCGUCCAGUGUCAUGUGUGAGAGCGUCUCCCAGCGCUACUUGUCAUUUUGUCGCUUGGUCUGACAGCAUCAUUUGGCAAUCUUUCUUAAUUCCGCUAUUCACGGGAAUUUCAGAGGAAGUGGCUGGGGAAAACAAAUCUUUGGUCAGAAGCAGUGUUUAUUGUGGGAAAGAAUGACGAAAAUAGUUUGGCAGUUUUAAUUUGAGAAACUGAACUCCGUUUUGUUUUCGAAAAGUGGCGGAAGAAGCUCCUUCAAAGAGACAAAAAAAAAAAAAAAAUGACGAAAAGGCGCAAUUUCCCUCGACCUGGAAAUACUCGUACUGUAUUUACCUCGUGAUAUCUGUAGAGAUAACACAAAAUAAAAUGUGCUGUUCCAAGCUGA